GACAGAGGGGGCAAGCGUUGCUCGGAAUUACUGGGCGUAAAGGGCGCGUAGGCGGGAUGGCAAGUCGGUCGUGAAAUCCCUCGGCUUAACCGAGGAACUGCGUCCGAUACUGAAAGGCUUGAAUCCGGGAGAGGGAUGUGGAAUUCCCGGUGUAGCGGUGAAAUGCGCAGAUAUCGGGAAGAACACCCGUGGCGAAGGCGGUUCUCUGGGACGGUACUGACGCUGAGACGCGAAAGCGUGGGGAGCGAACAGG
rnacentral:rRNA from 1 species